UACGUAGGGUGCGAGCGUUAAUCGGAUUUACUGGGCGUAAAGCGUGCGCAGGCGGCCCGUUAAGACAGGUGUGAAAUCCCUGGGCUCAACCUAGGAAUUGCGCUUGUGACUGGCGGGCUCGAGUACGGUAGAGGGGGGUGGAAUUCCUGGUGUAGCGGUGAAAUGCGUAGAUAUCGGGAGGAACACCAGUGGCGAAGGCGGCCCCCUGGACAAAGACUGACGCUCAGGCACGAAAGCGUGGGGAGCAAACAGG
rnacentral:rRNA from 1 species